rnacentral:rRNA from 1 species
AUGGGGAUGCGUCUGAUUAGCUUGUUGGUGAGGUAACGGCUCACCAAGGCGACGAUCAGUAGGGGUUCUGAGAGGAAGGUCCCCCACAUUGGAACUGAGACACGGUCCAAACUCCUACGGGAGGCAGCAGUGAGGAAUAUUGGUCAAUGGGCGAGAGCCUGAACCAGCCAAGUAGCGUGCAGGAUGACGGCCUAUGGGUUGUAAACUGCUUUUAUAUGGGGAUAGGUACCAUAUGAAUAAGGACCGGCUAAUUCCGUGCCAGCAGCCGCGGUAAUACGGAAGGUCCAGGCGUUAUCCGGAUUUAUUGGGUUUAAAGGGAGCGUAGGCCGCCCCUUAAGCGUGUUGUGAAAUGCCGCGGCUCAACCGUGGCACUGCAGCGCGAACUGGGGGGCUUGAGUGCACGCAACGCAGGCGGAAUUCGUGGUGUAGCGGUGAAAUGCUUAGAUAUGGCGAAGAACCCCGAUUGCGAAGGCAGCUGGCGGGAGCGUAACUGACGCUGAAGCUCGAAAGCGCGGGUAUCGAACAGGAUUAGAUACCCUGGUAGUCCGCGCGGUAAACGAUGGAUGCCCGCUUGGGCCGCGGCUAAGCGAAAGCAUU